UACAGAGGUCUCAAGCGUUGUUCGGAUUCAUUGGGCGUAAAGGGUGCGUAGGUGGCGGGGUAAGUCUGGUGUGAAAUCUCGGGGCUCAACCCCGAAACUGCACUGGAUACUGCCUUGCUUGAGUACUGGAGAGGAGACUGGAAUUUACGGUGUAGCGGUGAAAUGCGUAGAUAUCGUAAGGAAGACCAGUGGCGAAGGCGGGUCUCUGGACAGUUCCUGACGCUGAGGCACGAAGGUCAGGGGAGCAAACGGG
rnacentral:rRNA from 1 species